rnacentral:rRNA from 1 species
UACGUAGGGCGCAAGCGUUAUCCGGAAUUAUUGGGCGUAAAGAGCUCGUAGGCGGUUUGUCGCGUCUGCCGUGAAAGUCCGGGGCUCAACUCCGGAUCUGCGGUGGGUACGGGCAGACUAGAGUGAUGUAGGGGAGACUGGAAUUCCUGGUGUAGCGGUGAAAUGCGCAGAUAUCAGGAGGAACACCAGUGGCGAAGGCGGUACUCUGGGCCGGAACUGACGCUGAGACGCGAAAGCGUGGGGAGCGAACAGG